rnacentral:rRNA from 1 species
UACAGAGGGUGCGAGCGUUAACCGGAAUUACUGGGCGUAAAGCGCGCGUAGGCGGCUUUUCAAGUCGAUUGUGAAAUCCCCGGGCUUAACCUGGGAACUGCGGUCGAGACUGUCUAGCUAGAGUAUGGGAGAGGGAAGUGGAAUUUCAGGUGUAGCGGUGAAAUGCGUAGAUAUCUGAAGGAACAUCAGUGGCGAAAGCGACUUCCUGGACCGAUACUGACGCUCAUGUGCGAAAGCGUGGGGAGCAAACAGG